UCAGUAGUUGGCAUUGUUGGUUGGUUGGCUGCUGAUAUUGGAGAGCCGAGGCCUACUAGUAGUCGCUCCGCCGAGGAGCCACAAUAGCAUUCGUUUGGAGCACCGGCAUUCGAAUUUGUUUUUGUAUAUUAUUCGCAUCACUCAGCGCCGCCAGCGAAUUCCAAUGCCGUGAGAGUUUGCGAGAGAUUUUUGCUAAGCUCGAGUGUAUUUUUUAUGCUCACAGCACAUUAGUGCUUUGUUUGUAUAGUUACGUAUGUGCAGUUGCGGCGAGUAUUGCGAAAAGGCGCGAGUCCAAAAGCCAAUGUACGGAAAACAUCUUCGUUCGCAUACGUAGUGUGGUCGGUAGGAAAUUUUUGCAGCUAGUCACUUGCCAAUAAGUGAUAUUUGUGGUUGAGUGUGGAAAAGUGAAGUAAAUGUAUUGAAGUUAGUUAAUGCAAACUGUUACUUUUUACUACGAAAAGGGAAUACAUAUUUUGCCAGGAAGAUGGUAACACCCAAAAAGAGACGUCGGAAGAAAGUUGGAUCCACGGGGGAGCUGCGGGACAGUUCCUAUAGCAAGAAGUUGUGUGUUUCGGUGAUACCACUCCUUUUUGGAUGGCCGGAAAGAGGUAACUGGGAGACCUGCGACUUCGACAAACACCGACUAAGUAUUCGUUCAAUUGCCCAGAUGUUAAAUUUAUCAAAAUCUGUGGUUCAUGACAUUGUGGCGGAGCACUUGAACAUGCGCAAGGUGUGUGCGAAGAUGGUCCCAAAAGCUUGGCAUCCCAAAGCUUCCACAGCCUCCCUACACCCCAGAUGUAGCCCCCGGACUUUUUUGUUUCCUUGCCUGAAAAGGCCUAUGAAAAGCAAGCAUUUUGACACAACAGAGGGAAUCCAAGCAGCAUGCACCUUGGCUCUCAAGGUUAUUCCGGAGAAUGCCUUCCGUGACGCCUUCAAUGCUUGGAAAGCCUAGUUUUUUAGUUUUUAAAAAAUUGCAACGAUUGGUUCAAUAAAUGUUUUUAAACCGA